rnacentral:rRNA from 1 species
GGCAAGCGUUGUCCGGAUUUAUUGGGCGUAAAGCGAGCGCAGGCGGUUCCUUAAGUCUGAUGUGAAAGCCCCCGGCUCAACCGGGGAAGGUCAUUGGAAACUGGGGAACUUGAGUGCAGAAAAGGGGAGUGGAAUUCCAUGUGUAGCAAUGAAAUGCGUAGAUAUAUGGAGGAACACCCGUGGCGAAGGCGACUCUCUGGUCUGUAACUGACGCUGAGGCUCGAAAGCGUGGGGAGCAAACAGGAUUAGAUACCCUGGUAGUCCACGCCGUAAACGAUGAGUGCUAAGUGUUGGAGGGUUUCCGCCCUUC